GACGAACGCUGGCGGCGUGCCUAACACAUGCAAGUCGAACGGAACUGUUUUGAAAGAUUUCUUCGGAAUGAAUUUGAUUUAGUUUAGUGGCGGACGGGUGAGUAACGCGUGAGUAACCUGCCUUCAAGAGGGGAAUAACAUUCUGAAAAGAAUGCUAAUACCGCAUGACAUAUCGGAACCACAUGGUUUUGAUAUCAAAGAUUUUAUCGCUUGAAGAUGGACUCGCGUCCGAUUAGUUAGUUGGUGAGGUAACGGCUCACCAAGACCGCGAUCGGUAGCCGGACUGAGAGGUUGAACGGCCACAUUGGGACUGAGACACGGCCCAGACUCCUACGGGAGGCAGCAGUGGGGGAUAUUGCGCAAUGGGGGCAACCCUGACGCAGCAACGCCGCGUGAAGGAUGAAGGUUUUCGGAUUGUAAACUUCUUUUAUUAAGGACGAAAAAUGACGGUACUUAAUGAAAAAGCUCCGGCUAACUACGUG
rnacentral:rRNA from 1 species